rnacentral:rRNA from 1 species
GUGGGGAAUAUUGGACAAUGGGCGCAAGCCUGAUCCAGCCAUGCCGCGUGAAUGAUGAAGGUCUUAGGAUUGUAAAAUUCUUUCACCGGGGACGAUAAUGACGGUACCCGGAGAAGAAGCUCCGGCUAACUUCGUGCCAGCAGCCGCGGUAAUACGAAGGGGGCUAGCGUUGCUCGGAAUUACUGGGCGUAAAGCGCACGUAGGCGGCUUUGUAAGUUAGAGGUGAAAGCCUGGAGCUUAACUCCAGAACUGCCUUUAAGACUGCAUCGCUUGAAUCCAGGAGAGGUGAGUGGAAUUCCGAGUGUAGAGGUGAAAUUCGUAGAUAUUCGGAAGAACACCAGUGGCGAAGGCGGCUCACUGGACUGGUAUUGACGCUGAGGUGCGAAAGCGUGGGGAGCAAACAGGAUUAGAAACCCGUGUAGUCC